UCCCCUCAGCCCAUCGUCCCGCCUCGUAUCUCUCCGCACUCAAUCCAACCAAACCGACCUCUCCGACCUUUCCACUUCUUCCGACUCCACCAUCGACCCUUUGCACUCGACUUCAUUAUCGAUGCAAUAUGGAUUUCAUAUCACCUACUGUGACAUGGGUACUCUUUGUUACUGGGUUCAGGUCACACAAUCAGGGUUCUUCCCUAAAGCCUCAUGUCAUAGGAAACCUUUUACAUGACUGGUAUUGGAUAAAUAACAUAAUACACAUAUAUUCUAAAGCAUAUAAAUGUUUCUCUGAAUCAUAUAUCCUAUCUGGUUUUUGAGACAACUACUGCCCUUAUAAUUUAAUCAUUUUCAAAGAUCCCUUUAUAAAUUUAAAAA